AUGGGGAUAACCAAUUUCGUGCUCACGGUUGCCGGUGUUAGCGCCGUCGUGCUUCUCCUCCGAAGCGACGUCAAAAAAUCAGCUUCGAUUUUCAAACAAAACGUCAAACAGAUUCGUCACUGGCUCGAAGAAGAAACCCCCAAUCAUUCCAAGGUUACAAAAGAACUACAAUCAAAGGUUCCUCCAAAAGACAUACCUAAGGAAGAUAAGCACUAG